rnacentral:rRNA from 1 species
GAUGAACGCUGGCGGCAGGCUUAAUACAUGCAAGUCGUGGGGCAGCAUGGUGUAGCAAUACACUGAUGGCGACCGGCAAACGGGUGCGGAACACGUACAGAACCUUCCUUCAAGUGGUGAAUAGCCCAGAGAAAUUUGGAUUAAUACACCGUAACAUAUGAGAGUGGCAUCACUUUUAUAUUAUAACUCCGGCUCUUGAAGAUGGCUGUGCGGCUGAUUAGGUAGUUGGCGGGGUAACGGCCCACCAAGCCUACGAUAAGUAACUGGUGUGAGAGCACGACCAGUCACACGGGCACUGAGACACGGGCCCGACUCCUACGGGAGGCAGCAGUAAGGAAUAUUGGUCAAUGGACGCAAGUCUGAACCAGCCAUGCCGCGUGAAGGAUGAAGGUCCUCUGGAUUGUAAACUUCUUUUAUCUGGGACGAAAAAGGGGCUUUCUAGCUCAACUGACGGUACCAGAGGAAUAAGCACCGGCUAACUCCGUGCCAGCCGCCGCCGUAAAAC